UGGUGGAGUGAUUUGUCUGCUUAAUUGCGAUAACGAACGAGACCUUAACCUGCUAAAUAGUGGGGCGAAGCCUAGCUUCGUAGCUUACUUCUUAGAGGGACUACACGAGACAAUCGUAUGGAAGUUUGAGGCAAUAACA
rnacentral:rRNA from 1 species